rnacentral:rRNA from 1 species
UGAGAAGAUGGCGCAUACUAAACGGGAGGAGGCGGGGAAGGAGGCCAAUUAUUCAUCCCCUUAUGGCCUUGGUUACCCCCCUUCCUCCAUGGGAGGGAACAGCGGGUAGCAAGCCGGUGACGCCAAGCUAAUCUGAGAAACCCUGUCUCAGUUCGGAUCGUAGGCUGCAACUCGCCUACAUGAAGUCGGAAUCGCUAGUAAUCGCGGAUCAGCACACCGCGGUGAAUACGUUCCCGGGCCUGUACACACCGCCCGUCACACCAC